rnacentral:misc_RNA from 1 species
CGAGUUUAUCCAACUCCCAACCCUAUGUGAACCUACCUUUAUGUUGCUUCGGCGGUCUCGCGCCGGGCUGCUCCCCUGGGGAGCUCCCGGGACCACGCGUCCGCCGGAGACCACAAACUCUUGAUUUUGCGAAAGCAGUAUUAUUCUGAGUGGCCGAAAGGCAAAAAACAAAUGAAUCAAAACUUUCAACAACGGAUCUCUUGGUUCUGGCAUCG